rnacentral:rRNA from 1 species
CUACGGGAGGCUGCAGUGAGGAAUAUUGCACAAUGGGGGGAACCCUGAUGCAGCAACGCCGCGUGGAGGAUGACGCAUUUCGGUGUGUAAACUCCUUUUAUAUGUCAAGAAAAUGACGGUAGCAUAUGAAUAAGCACCGGCUAACUCCGUGCCAGCAGCCGCGGUAAUACGGGGGGUGCAAGCGUUACUCGGAAUCACUGGGCGUAAAGGACGCGUAGGCGGGUUGGAAAGUCAGGUAUGAAAUCCUACAGCUUAACUGUAGAACUGCACUUGAAACUUCUAAUCUAGAGUAUGGGAGGGGGAGAUGGAAUUAGUGGUGUAGGGGUAAAAUCCGUAGAUAUCACUAGGAAUACCUAAAGCGAAGGCGAUCUCCUGGAACAUUACUGACGCUAAGGCGUGAAAGCGUGGGGAGCAAACAGGAUUAGAUACCCGCGUAGUC